rnacentral:rRNA from 1 species
UGUGGGAUAUUGCACAAUGGGCGAAAGCCUGAUGCAGCGACGCCGCGUGGGGGAUGAAGGCCUUCGGGUUGUAAACUUCUUUUGCUCUGAACAAGGCGCACCAUGGGGUGUGUUGAGUGUAGGGGUUGAUUAGCGCCGGCUAACUACGUGCCAGCAGCCGCGGUAAUACGUAGGGCGCGAGCGUUGUCCGGAAUUAUUGGGCGUAAGGGCUUGUAGGUGGCUGGUUGCGUCUGUCGUGAAAGCUCAUGGCUUAACUGUGGGUUUGCGGUGGGUACGGGCUGGCUUGAGUGCAGUAGGGUAGGCUGGAAUUCCUGGUGUAGCGGUGGAAUGCGCUGAUAUCAGGAGGAAUACCGGUGGCGAAGGCGGGUCUCUGGGCUGUUACUGACACUGAGGAGCGAAAGCAUGGGGAGCGAACAGG